rnacentral:rRNA from 1 species
AUUGAACGCUGGCGGAAUGCUUUACACAUGCAAGUCGAACGGCAGCACGGGGGCAACCCUGGUGGCGAGUGGCGAACGGGUGAGUAAUACAUCGGAACGUGCCCAGUCGUGGGGGAUAACGUAGCGAAAGUUACGCUAAUACCGCAUACGAUCUACGGAUGAAAGCGGGGGACCGUAAGGCCUCGCGCGAUUGGAGCGGCCGAUGUCAGAGUAGGUAGUUGGUGAUGUAAAGGCUCAACAAGCCGACGAUCUGUAGCUGGUAUGAGAGGACGACCAGCCACACUGGGACUGAGACAAGGCCCAGACUCCUACGGGAGGACGCAGUGGGGAAUUUUGGACAAUGCGCGAAAGCCUGAUCCAGCCAUUCCGCGUGCAGGACGAAGGCCUUCGGGUUGUAAACUGCUUUUGUACGGAACGGAAAGGCUCUGGUUAAUACCUGGGGCUCAUGACGGUACCGUAAGAAUAAGCACCGGCUAACUACGUGCCAGCCGCCGCAGUAA